rnacentral:rRNA from 1 species
AAUGAACGCUGGCGGUAUGCCUAAUACAUGCAAGUCGAACGACAACACGGUAAGAUCUCGCCCUUACGGUUAGCGAGUGACGGACGGGUAAGAAGUACAUCACCUUCUACUAUGUCUUGGGUGAUAACGGAGGGCAACUGACGCUAAUGCCUCAUAUAUUCUACGGCUUGAAUCAAUGGAUCUUCGCACCUUUCGCGAUUCAUUUAGCCGGUGUCGGAUUAGCUAGUUGGCUUGGUAAGGGCCCACCAAGGCAACGAUCCGUAGCUGAUCUGAGAGGAUGAUCAGCCACACUGGAACUGAGACACGGUCCAGACUCCUACGGGAGGCAGCAGUGGGGAAUCUUGGACAAUGGGCGAAAGCCUGACCGAGCAACACCGCGUGGGUGAAGAAGGUCUUCGGGUCGUAAAGCUCUUUUGUUGGGAAAGAAAAGCAGUAGGUGAAUCCAUCGCCGUCUUGACGGUACCCAAACAGAAAGCCACGGCUAACUUCGUG